UACGGAGGGUGCAAGCGUUAAUCGGAAUUACUGGGCGUAAAGCGCACGCAGGUGGCUGAGUCAGUCGAUUGUGAAAGCCCUGGGCUUAACCUGGGAAUUGCAGUCGAUACUACUCAGCUAGAGUAUGGGAGAGGGUAGUGGAAUUCCCGGUGUAGCGGUGAAAUGCGUAGAUAUCAGGAAGAACAUCGGUGGCGAAGGCGCUCUGCUGGACCAUAACUGACACUCAGGGACGAAAGCUAGGGGAGCGAAUGGG
rnacentral:rRNA from 1 species